rnacentral:ribozyme from 13 species
AUAAAGAAAUAUAAAGAAAGAAAGAAAGAAAGAAGAAGAAAUAAAGAAACAGAAAAGAAGACAACAUAUACUUUAUAAACAUGAAUUUCAAAACUAAUUUCUAAAUAUAUCGAUACUUUAUAUAUAAUAAUGACACAUACUUUAACGUUAAGAAGGAUGUCAAGUCUUUCAUCUAUUGACAUGGACAAA